CUACGGGCGGCACCAGUGGGGAAUAUUGGACAAUGGGGGAAACCCUGAUCCAGCAAUGCCGCGUGUGUGAAGAAGGCCUGCGGGUUGUAAAGCACUUUCGGUUGGGAGGACUGCUUCUAGCACUAAUAUUGUUGGAAGUUGACGUUACCUUCAGAAGAAGCACCGGCUAACUCCGUGCCAGCAGCCGCGGUAAUACGGAGGGUGCAAGCGUUAAUCGGAAUUACUGGGCGUAAAGCGCGCGUAGGCGGCUAGAUCAGUCGGGUGUGAAAGCCCCGGGCUUAACCUGGGAACUGCAUCCGAUACUGUCUAGCUUGAGUACAGGAGAGGAGAGUGGAAUUCCACAUGUAGCGGUGAAAUGCGUAGAUAUGUGGAGGAACACCAAUGGCAAAGACAGCUCUCUGGCCUGAUACUGACGCUAAGGUGCGAAAGCGUGGGAAGCAAACAGGAUUAGAUACCCCCGUAGUC
rnacentral:rRNA from 1 species